ACGCUCGACACCUACGGGAGGCGGCAGUCGGGAAUAUUGCGCAAUGGAGGAAACUCUGACGCAGUGACGCCGCGUAUGGGAAGAAGGUUUUCGGAUUGUAAACCAUUUUAGACAGGGAAGAAAAAAGACAGUACCUGUAAAAUAAGCUCCGGCUAACUACGUGCCAGCACGCCGGACGGUAAUCUGGACGGCGGGCGUGGACGAAGGC
rnacentral:rRNA from 1 species